ncrna:unclassified sequences ROOL RNA
AAUAUAUAAUUAUAGUUAUUGGAACUCAGUGAAGAUCGGUUUAAUCACCGUGCUGAGAGCAUGUGGAUGUCGGCAUAUUAUUAUAUGGGAUACUUUAUAGUGGUGUGCUUCGAAAUGUCGUGAGAUAUCUUAGAAUACUGUGGAAACCAUUAAAGACAAGCAUGUGUACUAAUAAUAAGCGUAGUAAAAAGUUCUGUUCUCAUCGCUGACGUAAUAGAGAGUUGCACUGCAAUGCUGAACCCUGAUGCCUAUGAGCUGGUAACUUAUAGGAGGUAAGUAAGGGAAUACCAAAUAAGUCAGUUCUGCCGUGAGUGUAAAGAAAUUUGCACAAUAAGAUGAGUUGCAGGAAGUAGUAGUCCAAGGUAGUCAUAAUAGAAUGUAUAUUUUAAUUAAAACUACAUAUGAAAUUACAGUAUAUUAAUGAUUCUGAAUGAUGGACGAGGCUUAUGGAUAACCAAUUCCGUAUGCACUAUGUUGGGUGUUUCCCAUAGCACAAGAAGUAUAUAUGCGACGGUGUAUAUGCUCAGACUUGUGUUUGCAUUGACUGAAUAUUAGUGCGUCUAUUAGAAGUAACCCGAAGGGGUACAGUUGCUAUAAUUAUAUA